rnacentral:rRNA from 1 species
GUACACUCCUGCGGGAGGCAGCAGUGGGGAAUUUUGGACAAUGGGCGAAAGCCUGAUCCAGCAAUGCCGCGUGAGUGAAGAAGGCCUUCGGGUUGUAAAGCUCUUUUGUCAGGGAAGAAACGGUGAAAGCUAAUAUCUUUUGCUAAUGACGGUACCUGAAGAAUAAGCACCGGCUAACUACGUGCCAGCAGCCGCGGUAAUACGUAGGGUGCAAGCGUUAAUCGGAAUUACUGGGCGUAAAGCGUGCGCAGGCGGUUUUGUAAGUCUGAUGUGAAAUCCCCGGGCUCAACCUGGGAAUUGCAUUGGAGACUGCAAGGCUAGAAUCUGGCAGAGGGGGGUAGAAUUCCACGUGUAGCAGUGAAAUGCGUAGAUAUGUGGAGGAACACCGAUGGCGAAGGCAGCCCCCUGGGUCAAGAUUGACGCUCAUGCACGAAAGCGUGGGGAGCAAACAGGAUUUGAAACCCCAGUAGUCCCA